rnacentral:rRNA from 1 species
AUGGAAGGUGAGGUCUGGGCGGCAAUCAUGCAAUCGCCGGCGGAGAAGGCGCCGGGCCCCGAUGGUUUCAGUGGUACAUUUUUCUGUGCUUGUUGGUCGAUCAUCCGCGCCAACAUCAUGGCGGCUUUCCACCGUUUCUACCAUCUUGCCGGUGGCAAUUUCGCUGCACUAAACACUGCCUUUGUGGCGCUGCUGUCGAAGAAGGAUGGGGCCGUGCGGAUGACAGACUUUCGCCAAAUCAGUCUGAUCCACUCGUUUGUGAAGCUGGUCACUAAGGUGAUGUCAAUCCGACUGUCAAAAGUAAUUCACACGACCGUCUCCCCUGCACAGUCAACUUUCCUGAAGACGAGGUGUAUACAAGACAGUUUCUUGUAUGUUCAGAAUCGAGUUCGUGCACUGCACCGUAGCAAAACCCCGGCAUUGUUACUGAAAUUGGACAUCUCCAAAGCAUUUGAUAGCGUGUCCUGGGACUACCUACUGGAGCUGCUACAGGAACUUGGGUUCAGUGCUAGAUGGAGAGAUUGGAUUGCUUGGCUGCUGUCAACCUCAUGCAUUGAAUUCCUUCCCAAUGGAGCGCCAGGGAGCAAAGUUCAGCACCGCAAGGGUCUUCGUCAGGGAAACCCACUCUCUCCAUUGUUAUUCAUUCUGGCUAUCGAUCCGCUGCAACGCCUGAUCGACGAAGCGGUCCGGCAAAAAAUGAUGCAGCGUUGCCGAGGAGGGAGCUGA